UCCGUUUCUCCCACCGGCUUUCAGGAGAUACCUGGUCCAGUGUGACCCUCGCGUAGUGUUAAAGGCCGCCGAUGCGGCACAUUUUUUGACGGAGACCUCCAGGUGACGUCAGAAAAGGAGGGUAGGGUUCGGGCCCUCCCCCGAGGUUCCCGGGGCCGCCCUGAUCACGUGGCUCACCGGGCCUCAGGUAACUUGCCAGAAAGGGGC